GCCUAUAAAAGAAAAGCUCAUUUAAAUUUGACCUUUGCUGGCCCAAACCCCCCUCUCCCACCGCAGAGUCCUCCGUCGAGUCGGGAACCUCUGAAAAGUCUUUCUCAGGGCGUUUUCGCCUCUGAAGGGUCCAUCGCAAGACCGCCACCCCCUGAGCGCGUUAUGAUUUCCCCAUUUAAGAGGAGACAGGAGCCUACGCGGCGCGCCUCGUGUCAUUAGGUCAGAAGCUGUCGAGCAGGGACCCCAAGUCUGCAAUUUGGACUCCAAAGCCUGUGCCCCGGAAUCGCGGCCUCUCCAAACGUGUUCGGCAGAAGGGACACCGCCACCCGCCGCACCUUCAACCCACAGACGGUGCUCACCGCCCAGCCGCCCCCAGGGGACGCCUAAAAGCCUUCGGGACCCGAGACUAAAGCCACCGUCUAGGGGAAGAGACCAAGCAGCCAUUGAAAUCACGACUUGUAUAUGGGCCAAUCCCAAGAUGGCUAAAAAGUGGAGGGGCGGGUAUAUGCAAAACACACCGAGCAGUGGGCACGUAAGGAAAGCAGUAGAUAAUUCUGUUUAAGGUCUUUUUCAAUAGUCUGCUACUAUUUGAAGUAAGAAUAAUAAAACUCACUUUAAAAAAGAUUGCUUGUUGAGAAACAAUCUAAUCGUUAGGCCAUAAAAGUCACCACAAAUGUAAAAGGGACAGUAACGGUAAACCUGGCGGGGAGGCAGGUGCUACGGUAUCGCUUCUCGGCCUUUUGGCUAAGAUCAAGUGUAGUAUCUGUUCUUAUCAGUUUAAUAUCUGAUACGUCCUCUAUCCGAGGACAAUAUAUUAAAUGGAUUUUUGGAAGUAGGAGAUGGAAUAGGAGCUUGCUCCGUCCACUCCGCGUAUCGACCUGGUAUUGCAGUACUUCCAGGAACGGUACACCCCCUCGGGGGCC